rnacentral:rRNA from 1 species
GACGAACGCUGGCGGCGUGCUUAACACAUGCAAGUCGAACGGAAAGGCCCUGCUUUUGUGGGGUGCUCGAGUGGCGAACGGGUGAGUAACACGUGAGUAACCUGCCCUUGACUUUGGGAUAACUUCAGGAAACUGGGGCUAAUACCGGAUAGGAGCUCCUGCUGCAUGGUGGGGGUUGGAAAGUUUCGGCGGUUGGGGAUGGACUCGCGGCUUAUCAGCUUGUUGGUGGGGUAGUGGCUUACCCAGGCUUUGACGGGUAGCCGGCCUGAGAGGGUGACCGGCCACAUGGGGACUGAGAUACGGCCCAGACGCCUACGGGAGGCAGCAGGGGGGAAUAUUGCACAAUGGGCGGAAGCCUGAUGCAGCAACGCCGCGUGCGGGAUGACGGCCUUCGGGUUGUAAACCGCUUUCGCCUGUGACGAAGCGUGAGUGACGGUAAUGGGUAAAGAAGCACCGGCUAACUACGUG